rnacentral:rRNA from 1 species
ACUCAAAUGAAUUGACGGGGGCCCGCACAAGCGGCGGAGCGUGUGGUUUAAUUCGACGCGACGCGAAGAACCUUACCCGGGCUUUACAUGCCCCUGCAAGCCCCGGAAACGGGGUCGCCUUCGAGGGUGGGGCAAAGGUGUUGCAUGGCUGUCGUCAGCUCGUGCCGUGAGGUGUUGGGUUAAGUCCCGCAACGAGCGCAACCCCCGCCGCCAGUUGAACCUUUUCUGGCGGGACUGCCCCUCGCGGGGAGGAAGGAGGGGAUGACGUCAAGUCAGCAUGGCCCUUACGUCCGGGGCGACACACACGCUACAAUGGUCAGGACAACGGGUCGCCAAGGCGCGAGCCGGAGCCAAUCCCCCAAACCUGGCCUCAGUUCGGAUCGGGGGCUGCAACCCGCCCCCGUGAAGCCGGAGUCGCUAGUAACCGUGGGUCAGCACUACCGCGGUGAAUGUGUUCCCGGGCCUUGUACACACCGCCCGU